AACGCACAUUGCGCCUCUCGGUAUUCCGGGAGGCACGCCUGUUCGAGCGCCAUUACACCCUCCAAGCUCUGCUUGAUGUUGGAUGUUGUGUUUCUCUUUUGGGGAGGCACACGUCUGUAACUUGUAGGCGUCCGUCACUGUCGAGACACCGCGAGCGUAGCAAGACUUUUGGUCAUUUUUCGCUCUGUUGGGACUCCAGCGGACUGCCCUUACGAUUUAGAGGGGUAACCCUCUAAUCAUUUACUGAGUUUGGCCUCGGAUCAGGUGGGGAUACCCGCUGAACUUAA
rnacentral:misc_RNA from 1 species